rnacentral:rRNA from 1 species
UAGGGAAUAUUGGACAAUGGGGGCAACCCUGAUCCAGCCAUGCCGCGUGAGUGAAGAAGGCCCUCGGGUUGUAAAGCUCUUUUGUCCGGAAAGAAAAGCUUCGGGUUAAUACCCCGGGGUUCUGACGGUACCGGAAGAAUAAGCACCGGCUAACUUCGUGCCAGCAGCCGCGGUAAUACGAAGGGUGCAAGCGUUACUCGGAAUUACUGGGCGUAAAGCGUGCGUAGGUGGUUGUUUAAGUCUGAUGUGAAAGCCCUGGGCUCAACCUGGGAAUGGCAGUGGAAACUGGGCAGCUAGAGUGCGGUAGAGGGUAGUGGAAUUCCCGGUGUAGCAGUGAAAUGCGUAGAGAUCGGGAGGAACAUCUGUGGCGAAGGCGACUGCCUGGACCAGCACUGACACUGAGGCACGAAAGCGUGGGGAGCAAAC